UUUCUAAUUUGGAAAAAAAGAUAGCCAAUGUCUAGGCAGACUGAAAAGCUCACGGAAGGACUGACUCUACAUGUCAGAUACUCAGAUAAGUGUUUCAUACAAGAAGAUUUGAGGCCGGGCGCGGUGGCUCAAGCCUGUAGCCCCAGCACUUUGGGAAGCUGAGGCGGGCAGAUCACGAGGUCAGGAGAUCGAGACCAUCCUAUCCUGGCUAACAUGGUGAAACCCCGUCUCUACUAAAAAUACAAAAAAAUUAGCCGGGCGUGGUGGCGGGCGCCUGGAGUCCCAGCUACUCUGUAGGCUGAGGCAGGAGAAUGGCGUGAACCUGGGAGGCGGAGCUUGCAGUGAGCUGGGAGGCGGAGCUUGCAGUGAGCAGAGAUGGCGCCACUGCACGUGAGCCUGCGUGACAGAGUGAGACUCCGUCUCAAAAAAAAAAAAAAAAAGAAAGAAAUAAGAUUUGAAAUUUUCACUACAAUUAUGCUUCCUGAAGGUAUUUUUAUAUCUGAUAUUUUGGCACUUUAAGUCUGUUUUCAAGUUGAAAUCUAGAAUUCUCUUAUCUUUAAAAGUUCUGGAGACCACUUUGCUUUGUUACCUCAACAGCAUUAUCAUUCAGGGUGCUUGACAUUCCUUAUUGCAUUGCUGUGAUGUUUAGAUAGCCUCCUCUGCCACUGAGAGCAGUGCAAGCAAGUUACAUCCUCGUGUUUUCUUCUUGUGUUAAUUUCAGACCAAUUUCUUCCCAGGAAGAAGCUGUACUUUUUUAAAUUCUAUUUUUAAUUGAAAUUUGCAUUGAUGUAAUUGUAGAUUCACAUAUAGUUGUAAGAGAUAAUACAGAGAGAUCCCUUGCUUAAUUUUUUUCCCAUAAGAACAUCUUGCAAAAUUAUAGUAUAAUAUAACAACCAGGAGAUAUAUAUGUAUGUGUGUGUGUGUGCGCGCGCGCGCGUGUGUGUGUGUGUGUGUGUGUGUGUGUGUGUAUAUAUAUAAUUAUUUUUUUUUUUUUAGAUGGAGUCUUACUCUGUUGCCCAGGCUGGAGUUCAGUGGCACGAUCUCGGCUCAGUGCAACCUCUGCCACCUGGGUUCAAGCGAUUCUCCUGCUUCAGCCUCCUGAGUAGCUGGGAUUCCAGGUAUGCACCACCACGCCCGGAUAGUUUUUGUAUUUUUAGUAGAGAUGGGGUUUCACCAUGUUGUGUUGGCCAGGCUGGUCUUGAACUCCUGACCUCAAGUGAUCCAUCAGCCUUGGCCUCCCAAAGUGCUGGGAUUAUAGGCAUGAGCCACCAUGCCCAGCCACAACCAGGUUGUUGACAUUGAUACAAUCCAUUGAUCUUAUUUCAGAUUUCCCAUUUUCCUUGUACUCACGUGUUUGUGUGUGUGUGUGUGCACCUGCGUAUUUUGUUCUACACAAUUUUAACAGCUGUAGGUUCAUGUAUCGAACACCACAAUCAUUUUAGUUAGCUUGGAUUCCUAUAUCAAAGACCAGCAACUGGGUAGUUUAAACAACUAAUGUAUAUUUCUCAUCGUUCUGAAUCCUGGAAGUGCAAAAUCAAAGUGCUGAUUGAUUUGGUGCCUGGUUGUGACUCUCUUCCUUGUGGCCGACGGCCAUUUUUUUUGCUGUAUAUUUAUUGGUGGAGAGAGAAAGAGCUCUGGUCUCUUCUUAUAAGGGCACUAAUCCCAUCAUGGGGACUCCCCUUUCAAGACCUCAUCUAAACUGAACGACUUCCCAAAGGCCCUACCUCCAAAUACCAUUCUUAUUGGAGACAAGGAUUUCCACAUAUUAAUUUGGGGGGGAUGAUAUAAACAUGAAAUCUAUAACAACAGCAAAGAUUCAAAACUCCUCUAUUAACACAAGAAUGCUCUUUUAUAACCACCCACCUGCCUUCCAUCCCUAUCUCUAACCUCUGGCAACCACAAAUCUAUUUUCCAUAUUCAAUUUUAUUUUUAUUUCAAAAAGUUAUAUCAAUGGAAUUAUUCACUGUAACAUUUGGAUAUUGGCUUUCUCCCCUCAACAUAAUUCUCUAGAUACUUGUCUAUGUUGUUUGUAUCAACAGUUGGUUACUUCUAAUUUCAUGGAACAAUAUUCCAUGGUGUGUAUACACCACAGUUUGUUUAACCUUUCUCCCAAUGAAGGACAUCUGGGCUAUUUCUAGUUUUUAGUUACUAUGAAUGAAGCUCAUAUGAACAGUUAUGUAUAGGUUUUUGUGUGAAAAUGUUUUCAUUUCUCUGGGAUAAAUGUUCAAGAAAGUAAUUGCUGGGCCAUAUAGUAAUUGCAUGUUUAAUUUCAUAAGAAAUAGCCAAAAUAUUUUCUAGAGUGGCUGUAUCAUUUUAUAUUCUCAUCAGCAAAGUAUGAAUGAUCCUAUUUCUCUUCAAAUCUGUCAGCAUUUGCUGUUUUCAUAUUUUUGUUUUAGGCAUUCUAAUGGGUGUACAGUGAUAUCUCUUCCUGGUUUUAAUUUACAUUUCCCUGAUGGCUAACAGAUUGUACUUUCGGUGUCAUGACUAAGAACUCUUUGCUGACCCCUGGAUCCUGAAGAUUUUCUUUUAUUUUUUUCCUAAGAUUUUAUAGUUUUAUUUUUUCAUUUAAGUUACAUUCAUUUGAAUUAAUUUUUAUCUGAAAAAUACUGUUUUUCUUUCACUGUAGGCUUGUCUCUGUAUAAAUUCAAUUUGAAAAUAUGGCAAUAUGUAUCUUUGAUUUUCAAAUGAACAAGCUCAUAAAUACAAAAAUUAAAGGCAUAACAAGAAAAUAACAU
rnacentral:lncRNA from 1 species